rnacentral:misc_RNA from 1 species
CUACCAAACAGCAAAAAUUCGUUAUUUUAUUGAAAAAAUGUUUUCCAUAAUUUUCAACAUUCCUACCAAACAUUUAAUUACAACAUAAUGAAAAAUCUAUGAAGAAACCUGAAAAUCAAUUUAACAUCAAAAUUAAAUGCAGAAGACUGGAAGAUGAUACAUACACUCUCUGUAAAAUCAUGCACCAUAGAAGAAUGUCAGAACAUCUGUGUCAAAAUUCCCUAUACACUGGCUCUAACUGAAACAAAAUUAUAACCAGAAGUAACACAGCAUCGACCCAGAUCACCGUCCCACCCACUCCACAAUCCACGUGGAAAUUGUCCUUGGAACUAAUGACUAUGAAUAAAGAAACCUAACGAAUCAUCAACCCUUGCAUUGCCUGUGAUCCAUCUUCAGUUAUCUUGUUAGCUUGGAUGGCGUUUAUCACAUUCGCAAUAUUAUCCUGGAAAACAUGAGAACAUAAACGUAAUGACACUUGAAGAAAAGCUGGGAAAAUUAUUAGAACAAAAUCAACAAAUUAACAAGUGUCAGUUUCUUUCCCAAGAUUAGCAUAUAACUGAGUAGUUGGGCUGGAUACCAAUACAAAACUACUUUGAGAGCUAAAAUGCAGAGGGUGCAUGUCACUGAUAGAGAAGGUAAAACGAUAUAAUAUUUUUUACAGUCACGAAAUUUUACCCUCCAUGUAGCUAGUUUUAAUCUAAGUGCCAGCCACUGAUGCUGCCCAAAUACACGCUCGGCACAGCUACUGCACAUCACAAAUUGGAGAAAAAGAUUUGAAUAACCAAGGUAAAUCUCAAGCACAACAUUGCUAUCAUCAGAAGCAAAAGCAAGAGGCUACCUAACAAGUACAACUUGAGACAUCUGGUCCAUUUUACAGUUGAUUAACUUAGCAGUUAUUGCCUUCACUACCCAUAAUUCCACCUCAUCAUCGUUAAUCCGAAGAGUAUCCUUGAUAAGAGUAUAUGGAAUUCGACCAGAUCCAUCUGAGGCAAGAUCCACUAAUGACAUCAAUCUCAUCUUUGCUAUACAAUCCUCAUGAACAAGACCAUAGCUUUUCAGCAAAGCAGAAUUUGCAGCCUGAAACUCUAAGUAGGCAUCUAGCCUCUGAGUCAGAAAGAUCUUCAAAAGCUGAUAUACCAAAGCAUAUUUAGCGUCCUUUUCCAACUGCCCCACAGCAGGCAUAUCUAGCAGGUCACACUGCAAUAUGGCUACACAAAUCAAUCUCUAAGCACCCCAAUUUAUCCAAUAAGCUAUUCCAACAUAGACAAUAAAAAAAAUGCAAAAGAACUUGUGUUGAUGUAAACCAAAAAAGCAAAUUGAUAAAAGAAACAUUUAAAAGAUAAAAAUAAAAAAUUAACACAAGGAAAAAAAAGAUGGCCAUAAAACCAGUAUCCAGAGUACAACAACAACAACAAAUCCUAUAUGAAUCAUUUUUCACCAUUCAGCUUUGUUUGAACAAUAUCCAAAGUACACUAUGUAUAAAAAAUUAGUUGGGUUAUAGAUCAAUAGAAUUUCUGUUUAGACCAAACAUGCUUAACCACAUUCACAUGACCACAAAAAUUAAAACUGAGAUAAAGCUAAAUAGCCAAACAUAAUUAAGAAGGGAUUAACCUUUCACUUGCAAUGUGAGAACCCAAAAUACUUUUAGAUGAUUUGGCCUUUUUCUGCAAUGAUUAAUGCAUUUCUAUUUGCAUUUAACAAAUCAAAACAGCCUACAAGACCCAGUUGACAUGAACUUUAAGAAGAAAUAUAAGAACCUGUGACAUCUUCAAAAUUCAGUGAGACUUACCUGAAACAUGUCAGGUGCCUUGACAAAUUCGAUAAUUGUGCGCACAGCUUCCUCCUUGGCUUCACCCAUUGCAUAUGCAUCCUCCCCAGAAAAGGUUGCUAAAUACUUGGUCAGGAAUUUGAAAGAAUCCUUUCCUGAGCUCUUACUCUCUCUCAGUACAUUAGAAAUGCCAAGAAAAAGAUCCCUCUGAUCCUUCACCUCAAGAUUCCACUCUUUCAAGAAGCUAUCGAUCUUUUUGAAAGAAGGUAUGACAUGCUCUGUGACUUUUCCACUCGCUGCUAAAUUUAGAACCUUCAUGUAAACAUAGAACCGGCUGUAUGUGUUCUCCAGCAGAUUGUACAGAUUGAACAAGAUCUUCAAUCGCAAUGCAGGCUUGUCAGUUGGUUGCUGAAUGAUUUUUCCGCAUAAAAGUUUUGCCAUCUCAAGUUGUUCAUCAGGACUUUCAGACUUAGAGACAAGAUUGCAGAUAACAGUGAAGAUACACUCAAGAUCUUUCUCUGACACCUUAGAGUUGGAGAAUAUCAAGUCAGCUGAAGUAAGCAUUAAAGAGGCCAAGUCCAGCCAUCUGCCCAUCACGAUACAUUCUUGAGCUUCCAAACAAAGCCUAGAAACUUGUUGCUCUGCAACCUCAGGACCCGCGUCGGCCCAGGCAAGCUCAGAGGUGAAGCGGACGACGGCGAGGGCCGGAUCUUCUUCGGAGGUAGGAACGACGGUCGUCAUUGCAAGGCUAUCCGCAACGCUCUUGAAACUUACCUUUGGUGCAGAUAGAGAGAAAAUGAAAACCCUAGCUAGGGGAUCUUCAGUUCCACAAGUGUUGCAGUGUUUUUCGAGGCUUUAUGUGAUUUAUGGACGGUA